CCUAGCCACUAUACCUCACUACACUUCUUUCCAAUCGUUCCUGUAUCUUCAAGUAUUAGUUAUAAUAGUAGAUUUGAUAAAAACUGUUGGAAUUAUGUAUCGAAUACAUAGAUUCUCUUAGCUGCGGGAUUUCGUUACUAGCCUGUCCCUUUGUUACCAGUUAAGACAUCGUACAAGGGCGUCUAGGCGAUUGCCACCAAGAUUAUGCUAUCGACCAUGAGCUUAAGGUUCAUAUAAUACGCAUUUGCGCUGCAAAAAUUCCAGCAUAUUUAAAGCGAUCGAAAAUCCUGUCAGCCACGGUUGUACAAAUUUUCCUACGGCCAAAUUGCUGGAAAACUCGCAAGGGUGAGGAAGGAGCGUGACCGUCGCUUCGCGGAGCCCCGCAACCCCCCCGCCGCGACCAACCACCACUCCCCGUGGCACCGUUCGAACCCCUAGCCUAGAGAUGCCCGUUUCUACCUCCAAACACCACGGCGCACGCUCCGACGUCGCCUCAGUGACUCUCAACUACCGUUCACCGUGUCUGCGAUAUUCUCUUCCGUCUGCACGUCGCUCCCUGGGGAAAUUUUUCGGCGAGAAGUGUGCCGUGACAGAGGGUUAAUUGGGCAAGACCAAGAAAUACUGGCCUCGCCGAGUCGAUCGUGCUUCCGUGGCGCUGCGAACGGGAUUACCGUGUCGCGAUCUAUGAUAGACGAUGGUUUAAUGGCUCUGGGGACGCUUCUUCGUGAACUGGGACAAUCCUAGGUGAAUUAAGAAUUUAGUGUUCUGCGGUGGAAUCGAAGGAGGAGGAUUGUUAGAGUACGUUCUAGAAUUUUACAUUUGGCAUGGUGUCGCUGUUUGUGAACGAUAAUAUCGGGCCGAAGAUUGGUAGGAAGGAGGAUUGUCGAAGAGGAUUGAUGUAUAGGAUUUUACUUUUUUAUGCAGUGCAUUGUUGUUCGUAAGAGAAAUGUAAGGGACGUGGGACGAUAUCGGAUGAGUUAAGAAUUUACUGUUUAGUGUCUGAGACGGUGAAAUUAUUUAUUAUAUAUGUAUUAUUAAUAAAAGUAUCAUUGGUAUUUUGUACAUUAAAGAAUAAGAAAGAAGAUUCUAUCAUAGGGAUUGAUGUUUGUUAAAGGAAAUUCGAUUCGAUCCAGUAGACAAUACAGCAGACUCUUUAGUUUCCGCAAGUGGGACAGCUAUUAUUUCCAGUAUCUAUCUUACUUUUUGCAAAAAAAAAAGACAUCGUUGCUUUUUAUACGGCGAAGAAGGAAAGUCGUUUGUCAAAGAAAAUCCAAUUUAAUCCAAACGGCAGAACAGAAGGAUCUUAAAUUUUCCAAAAGUGGAUCUACUUACAACUUAUAUUUUAGUUUUUACGAGAAACGUCGUUUUAUAUCAUUUAACUAAUAUAAAUAGAAAAAUAAAUAUACAUAAAGAAAAAAAAAAGAAAAAGAACGAGAUCGGUGUUCAUCAAAGAAAAUCUUCUCCACUAGCGAUCCACGAAACAGUAGAGAAGGUUCCUAAAUUUCCGGAAGUAGGACACCUACAUACAUUUCUAACCUCCAUUCUAGUCUUUCCUCUUUCAACGAACAUUGCUUAUUUAUAAAUCAUAGAAUAAACGGCGAAGGAAAGGAUUCGAUAAAGAAAAUCCGAUUAGUAUCAAGAGACCAGUAAAGAAGGUUCGUAAAAUUUUUACACGACAAAAGAAAAGACAGAGCAAGAAUGAGAACCACUGAAACGCGAUCCGUGCUACUGGGCUACGCGCCACACGGCGCUUUGGCCGACCGACCGACUCUACUCGCACACGAUCCUCCUUCUCCCUCCGCCGUUAUCCGGCUCGCACUCUCAGUCUCUCUUUGUCUGUCUCAUUUUCUACGUCUCUCUACGCUGUACCGGUUCCCUGCCUCGCUACGCCAUGCAAAUCUUCCGUCUUGCACGUUAUGAGGAACGAGCCCUGUCUCUUCUUCCGAGUUUAACCGGAGACCACGCCGCGAUCCAAGGGAUCCCGUUUCCUGUUCGUUCUUCGGGAUGAUCGAGCGGCCUGCAUUAUUCCAUGCCUUGCAUUACGGCCACGAGCUUCUAAUCAUCAGUUUUCAGCCACCAUUUUCACCAUGAAAUUUAGAAUCGGAAAAUCCUCGAAAAUUCGAAAGAGAAAGCGAUCCUGAAAUAUUUCGGCGAGAAAGUUAGGGAUAAAUAACAUUAAACAUUCUAGAAAUUUGAAAGAGCAAGCCAGGCAGAUAAGAUUGAUAAUUCUUUAGAAUUUUAAUAAAAAUGUCAGACAAAUAAGGAAGAAAAACGAGGAAGUUAAAAAAGAAAAAUUGAAAAAUUGCAAAUUUUGAAGGAUAAGCGGGACAAAUAAAGUUGCGAGUUCUCGAAAAUUUGGGAGAAAAAGAUACAUAUAUAAAAUCGAAAGUCGUGUGAAAUAAAAUCGAAGGUGUUUGAAAAUUUGUAAAAACACGACAAACAAAAUUUGAUAGAAAGCAUGUCGUAAGUUGAACGUGCUUCGUGCCAAAAGGGAAGAGGAUAAUUCCCGAGAAGCUUCGAACAAGAGUGAAUCUUUUGUUAGAAUGAUUUGAUACGAGUGGAAAUUUUCCAAAGCAAUUUGCGAACAUCCUCGCUGUGUUGCCUUCUAUUGCUCCUGUUUUCAUUAGCCUGGUCAGCAGAAGGUAGGAUCGAAUGCACUUUUCUGCCAUGAUCUUAACACGAUUGAAAAUCAGGAAAAAAGUGCGGCUUGGAGAACAGACACUGAAACGUUCGCUGGUGUUUUAUAUCGUUUGCUUUCUUGUAAAAGGAGGAAGGUCAUUUAUUGAACCCUUUGAGUUUUAGAAACCCUGGACUCGUGCGAGUAAUCUGAGAUUUAAAAUGUAUUCUUCUGUAAAAGGAAAAAGAAACAAGAAAAAUUCUGUAAAACAAAGAACCUAAUUUAUCACGUCUUUCUCCAAGCUCUUCGUACGUAAAGUUGCAGAACAUGUAGAGAGAAUAUUAUAUAAAGAUCAUUAGCACAUAGGCGCGAUUUUCAACCUGUGUGUAGCAAACAUUUUAAAAAAGUGCAAUACCUGAGUAUUUAAUCAGAAGCACAGACUUCUUUUUCCUCUUAGAUUUUCAAAUAAGUCGUUCUUAAGCUAACGUGGUUAACUCCAUUUUUACAAUUUCACUGUCGAAACACUCGAUCGACGCUUAUGUCGUAUAAUUUCAUCAAUCUCUGUCUAUUGUUCCGCGGAGUAAGUUUAAUUUGACAAACGAGGUGAAUGCCCUCCUAUCUUGAACAUAUAUUUUUUAGCGUGACGUGAAAUUUUAGUAACUAGUACACUGCGGAUUUACAUGCAUUUAUGCGAAAUUUAAGAAUACGAAAAUGCAUACAAUAUGCAUAACGUACAAAAAAAAAAAAAAAAAAAGAAUACAAAGCUUCCAACGUAGCAUAUUCGUUACAAUCUUUGUUAGACGAAACAAGUUUCUAUUUAAAUGUUCCUGUUCCUUUACUUGCACCCAUAAAAAUGUCAAUUCGCAGAAAAAUCCACACUCUAAUAAUUAGUUUCUUUUUUCAUGUGGGCCAUGAGGUGGAAACGGUAGAAAAUUAUUGACGAUACAUCAGCAUCGUAGGUAAUGAGAAUCAGGUCUGAAGGGAACGUGUUAGAAGCAAAACCAAAGCCGUGUCUUUCACCUGAACGCCUUAUGGACGGUCCUCUAAUGGAUUACUUGGGAAACAGCGAUAACUUCUCGCUUGAGAGUCUUGGAAGACAAUCUUGGCAGAAACUAGUGUAACAAGUGCUGAAUAAGGUAAAAGAGGAAUAAUAAUAGAGGUUGUGUCUAUAAGCGUUUGAGUGUAAUAUUCGAAUUUGUAAUUUUAUUGCAAUUCUGGAUGCAGCUGCAUUUGCCACAUGUGGUCUUUUCUACGUAUAAAAACGACAAUAUCUUGAAACUAUAGAACAAUUCGCUAUUGUUAAGCUUUAAGGUUCGGCGCAGACGAAUGACGUUAUUGCAAUUUUACAAUGUUAAUAUUAUACGAUUUGGCAUUCUUUUAUCUUCAAUAACGAGAUUGCACACACGUGUGCAUUUUAUUUUGGUUCUUCGUAUUCUAUUGGUACAACAACAUAAAGCAUAAUAUGGAAAGUUGUUUUAAUAUCAUAUCACCGUUGAGAAAUAUAAAAAUAGAGAAGAUUAUGUACAAAUAAAUUUCCAACUAUUUGUAACUUUUCCUUUGAAAAAAAGCCCGUGUUUUAAAAAAUUGUUCACGGUAAAGGUACAUAUGGUAAAAGUGCGAAGAGUUAAAAUUAAACUAUAAAAUCAGAAAACGAUUAAAGUCAACGAAAAAAGAUCGCUUUAAUCAGUAGAAUUAUUUUUCUACCAGCUCUCCUGAAACUUCUCACUUACCAUCUGAUGGAAAAAUUUUUUAAGCUCACAGGAUCCUCGUUUUAUAAUUCUAUCCAAUCCUACAUCGUCAAUGUUAACAAGAUCGUAUGGUUCUUUCCUGCUAGGCUCUUUACCAAUUAACACACGAGUUCCUGAACAACGUAGACAAAAAGAUAUCGAACAAGAAAAUAUCCUAAUAUUUUUUUCCAACUAUCGAUCGUGCUCGGACGAAAAAAAAAGUCGAGUGGCGGAGGCCUUUACGUUUCGCUAGAACGAAGAAAAGGAAAUUGAAUCGCGAGCCGCACCGGGUUUUCUCGUUGUCAGCGAUUUAAUCAUCGGUCGGCUAUCAACGCCAGCCGACCAUCCUUUCCGGGGGCUUUUCAUUACAGUUCGUUAAAACGACGACUCGAGUCUAGUCGUUUCCAGGCACCGAGCCAUCCUGGUGAGUCAGGUCAUUGCCGGAAUUACUUGAUAAUUACUUCUGACACUGGCGACACGGGAGAAAAAAGAGAAAAAGGAAUAUCGAUACUGUGAACAGGAGUUUUAAGAAGAAUGGUUUCUCGGAUAUUAAUGGCAAGAUUAGGCGAUCGUUGUGCUCGAAGAUUAAUUAGAGGGACGGAAAAGGAAUUAUUAAGCAUCGCCGUAAUUGCUGCUCUUCGUUUCUAUAGGCAGCCGAUUUCGAUUAAAUUAAGUUUCAAUUAUUAAAUUCAAUUUUCAAUUGGUAUUUUGUUUCUACAAAUAUAGAUGGAUGGUUGUAGUACUUCGAUCAAUUAAGCGUGAUUUAUUAUUUGAAAUAUAUUUCAAAUAUGUAAAAUUAGUCGAUCGUAAUUAGUGCUCUGUUUUUAUAUCAAUAUGAACAAAAUAAGAUUGUAAUAUGUGGAUUAAAAAAUGUACGUUUGAAUCGUUAAAUUUAAUUUUCGCAGCAUCUGUUUUUGUAGAUAGAGGUUGCAAAAUUUGGAUUAAGUAGAUGCGAGUUGUUAUCUGCAAUGUUUGAAAUAUACAGGGUGGUUGGUAACUGAUGGUACAAGCGGAAAGGGGGUGAUUCUACGCGAAAAAGAAGUCGAAAAUAUAGAAUAACAAUUUUUCGUCUGAGGCUUUGUUUUCGAGAAAAUCGACUUUGAAUUUUCGUUUGGUACGCGUGCACUUUAUCACGUCUCGUUAUAACGGAUCUCACUGUAGAUGGAAAAAUUAAAAAAAAAAUUUUUAUCCUAUAUUUUCCAUUUCUUUUUUCGCGCAGAAUCACCCCCUAUCCGCUUGUACUACCAGUUACUAACCACCCUGUAUAAAAUUAAUUGAUCAUAGUUUUGGGAUUAAUUAGCUGGAUGAAGAAGGUAUUAUUAAGUAUGAUUAUAUUUACUGUUUCUAUACAUACAAGUGGGUGAUUGUAUUAUUUGGGUUAAGUAGCUGCAAGCCAUUAUUUGUAGUACAGGUACGGAAAUUUAUUGGUGGAAGUGUGAAAGAAUUUGACCAAUCGCGGUUAUUAUUCUUGGUUACCUAAAACGCACAGCUCAGCUGCAGUAGAACGAGUACAUUCCAGGUCAGACUUGAAUUAUCGCUUGACUAAAAUUCAGAACGAAAAUAAUUGGAAGCUGCAUAUAUGGUACCAAUAUAUUUAUUAUACGUGCAACACGACCACUCAAUAUUAAUCGUCGAAACAAUGUUCAAAAGCAACAAUUGAAUUCCAAAAAUUUAAUUACCCAGCCUUAUAGCGUUGUGCUCAAAAUUACUUUGUUUUCCAACUAGAAAUUGUACGUCAUGCUAUGCUUUUUUCUCUUUCCAAUUAUCAUACACUAUCGUAUUGAACUAUCAACUAUGCCAUUCAAACAUCAUUCUCCACUUUCUCCCAAUCGAUCACAGGAAGCGCGCCAAGAGCUAAAUCUUCCUUUCCAAACCUAAUUCACAAGGCCCACAACUGGAAGCACGCUUGCUGCCAACUAAAUCAACUGUCACAAACUUGGGACACCUGAACACCGUCCCAAAACUCUCUUCCUCUCAAUCGAUCACACAAAGCUCACCAAGAACGAAACUUCCCUUGCAAACUUAAUUUACCAGAUCCACGAUCACGAAUACGCUUUUGACCGCGUGAACCAACCAUCACAAACCUGGCCAACUGCUCCAUCCUCGAUUUCGCCUCGAUCGAUCACACAAAGCACACCAACGAUAAAACUUCUCUUCCCAAGCCUGAUUUACAAGAUCCACAAUUUCAAGUACACGCUUCCUGCCAUCCGAACCAUCAACUAUCACAAACCUGGCCAGCUACUGCAUCCAAUUCUCCCUCGAUCGAUCGUACAAAGCACACCAAGUACGAAACUUCUCUUUCCAAACCUAAUUUAUAAGCUGCACAAUUAGAAGCCUCGGUUUCUUCCAACUUCUAUUUUCGGCUGUUCCCUCUCAUCUUGCCCAACCGUCACAAACCUAAUCACCGUUUAUCCAACCUCGAAACCAUUCGCCAUCGUCUUCCAAUUAAUCAUGUACUUUUAAUCGUGUUCUCAAAUACACGACCAGUCGUCCAAUAACGCGAAUCAUCGAAAAUACGGCUUGCCGAUAAAUAACACAAAAGCCAGCUCAAAGAGCAAAAUAGAAGGACAGCGAGAGAGAGAGAGAGAGAGA